GAGAUUUUAAAGCUUCAAACUUUCAACAAAAUUAUUUUACUUUUUUGUAGAGAGAUGAUCAUCGAUCUCAUCUUCGAAAACCUUAAAUUCAACCCAUUACGAGUUUGAUUCUUCGGUAUUAUUUUUUCUCUCUCGACAGAUCCAGGAUUCGAUGGUUAAUCAGAAGGCUGUUUUGGCUGUGACAGAUGAUGUUGUGUUGCUUGUUAGCUCUGUUCUAACUAUUAUGGAACAGCUUGGAAAGGAGCGUUUUGAUCCUCUGAUUAUUACUCAAACAUCUACAAUAAUUCUUAGAUGUUAAUCCAGAACUUGGAAAUUCCUAUAACGAGGUCAUUGCUCCUCAAGAUGUUGCUACCUAUGGUGGACUCUGUGCCCUGGCAAGUUUUGAUCGAUCAGAAUUGAAGGCAUGUAUCCUAUUUAGCUUUUAUUUUACUCUGCCAGUUUGUUCCCAGUGUUUGCUUGUUGCAGCCGUUAUGCUUCCUGUCUGGAAUAUCUAGCAAGUCUGAAAGCGAACUUGCUGCUGGACAUCCAUCUUCAUGACCACGUUGACACACUGUAUGAUCAGAUAAGGAAGAAGGCACUGAUCCAGUACACACUGCCAUUUGUGUCUGUUGAUUUGAGCAGGAUGGCUGAUGCAUUCAAGACUAGUGUCUCUGGUCUAGAGAAGGAACUAGAAUACAUGAUCACAGACAACCAGAUUCAGGUUGAGAAGAAAUGG